AUUGAACGCUGGCGGCAUGCCUUACACAUGCAAGUCGAACGGCAGCACGGGUGCUUGCACCUGGUGGCGAGUGGCGAACGGGUGAGUAAUACAUCGGCACGUACCUUAUCGUGGGGGAUAACGCAGCGAAAGCUGUGCUAAUACCGCAUACGCCCUGAGGGGGAAAGCGGGGGAUCGAAAGACCUCGCGCGAUUAGAGCGGCCGAUGCCUGAUUAGCUUGUUGGUGGGGUAAAAGCCCACCAAGGCGACGAUCAGUAGCUGGUCUGAGAGGACGAUCAGCCACACUGGGACUGAGACACGGCCCAGACUCCUACGGGAGGCAGCAGUGGGGAAUUUUGGACAAUGGGGGCAACCCUGAUCCAGCAAUGCCGCGUGAGUGAAGAAGGCCUUCGGGUUGUAAAGCUCUUUUGUCAGGGAAGAGACACCGGCUCUAACACAGUCCGGGAAUGACGGUACCUGAAGAAUAAGCACCGGCUAACUACGUGCCAGCCGCCGCCGUAA
rnacentral:rRNA from 1 species